rnacentral:lncRNA from 1 species
GUUCAUCUGACUCUGUGGCUUUGUCUUUGACAACCGGCAGGAUAGGUUCUGUCUCACCUGGAGAAUGUGCUUAAGAUUCCGGAGGAAGCAGGGAGCCAGGUGCUGACCAAGGACCCUGAAUGCCCAGGCCACCCUCAGUGGCAACCACCAUACCAACUGGAGAUUGAGAGAGCAACAUCGGACUCAGUGUGCCUGCCCUCUCCACAUUGAAAUUUCUCCAGCUGUAAUAUAGGAAUUUAGAUUAUUUGGGCUCUGAGAGUCUUCUGG